UCCCUGAUAGCUCAAUCGGCAGAGCAAUUGACUGUUAAUCAAUAGGUUACUGGUUCAAGUCCAGUUCAGGGAG
rnacentral:tRNA from 1 species